UGCUGACGGCCUGGUUAAUAAGGGAAAAAAAACUGUCGGCUAUGAUAAUUAGCGGUGUAGGAUGCAGACAUUAACGCAAUGCUGGAGGGAACUUCUGUUAUGCUAAUUGGUGUUAAAGUUUUUAAUUCAGGGAGAAUUAACAUGAUUCACACUCACAAAUAGCUCUCAGCGUUGAAUUUUUGAGAAAUGGUUGGAGUCAAGCAGAAAGACAGGGGGAAUGUGAAGUGACUGGGUGGUGAUCAGAAUUUAAUCAGUAAGAACUGAUUGGUUGGGCUGGAUGAUUGACAGCUCUACUCCAUCUAAGGGCCUAGAUGGCCUAUCUUCGGCUUUCAGUAAAUUUCCAGGUACCCUCCGGGAGCCAAAACCUUGGUGGGAAAAUUGCAAACUUCUGAUAAUGGUUCAGCGACGGAGCGAGAACAUAUACUCUCUCAGUAUUAACCUUAACAGGAAGUUCCUGAGUGUGAGACUAUCCUGGAAUGCCCUUCAGCAAGAUUCACCUGUCAGAAAGAGAAAGACCGAGAUUUCUGUCACAACCUUUUCGCUCAGACGGUUUCACGGUGGUCAGGCUGAUCAAACGCAGCCCAGAUGACGGACUCUGCAGAUCCCUUGAAGAUCAGACACCAAGACAGGCUUGUCAGUCAGCAGGAAACAUACCACAUCUAACCCUUGAGACACCUUCCCACAGGAGGGAAGCCGUGAGAGAGACUCCAGGGUGUACCUGCAGCUUUAUCUCUCCUUUCAUAAAUCCACCGACUGCCUGACCUUUGACCUCUGGUAUCUGUAGAUGCCACACCUGUAAGGCAUCACUCAGUUCCGACUGACUGCAUUUAUUAUCUGCAUUUAUAACAACUUUUUAUAAACCAAUGGGGUGAAUCUCAAGGUUGUGUCCUCUUUCCCCCCAA